rnacentral:rRNA from 1 species
GAUGAACGCUGGCGGCGUGCCUAAUACAUGCAAGUCGAGCGAACAGAUGAGGAGCUUGCUCCUCUGACGUUAGCGGCGGACGGGUGAGUAACACGUGGAUAACCUACCUAUAAGACUGGGAUAACUUCGGGAAACCGGAGCUAAUACCGGAUAAUAUAUUGAACCGCAUGGUUCAAUAGUGAAAGACGGUUUUGCUGUCACUUAUAGAUGGAUCCGCGCCGCAUUAGCUAGUUGGUAAGGUAACGGCUUACCAAGGCAACGAUGCGUAGCCGACCUGAGAGGGUGAUCGGCCACACUGGAACUGAGACACGGUCCAGACUCCUACGGGAGGCAGCAGUAGGGAAUCUUCCGCAAUGGGCGAAAGCUGGACGGAGCAACGCCGCGUGAGUGAUGAAGGUCUUCGGAUCGUAAAACUCUGUUAUUAGGGAAGAACAAAUGUGUAAGUAACUAUGCACGUCUUGACGGUACCUAAUCAGAAAGCCACGGCUAACUACGUG